rnacentral:rRNA from 1 species
UACGGAGGGUGCAAGCGUUAUCCGGAUUCACUGGGUUUAAAGGGUGUGUAGGCGGACUUUUAAGUCCGUGGUGAAAUCUCCGGGCUCAACCCGGAAACUGCCAUGGAUACUAUUGGUCUUGAAUAUUGUUGAGGUGGGCGGAACGGGUCAUGUAGCGGUGAAAUGCAUAGAUAUGACCCGGAACACCGAUUGCGAAGGCAGCCCACUAAGCAAUGAUUGACGCUGAGGCACGAAAGCGUGGGGAUCAAACAGG